UGCCCGAGAGAAAUUCUACAGCCCAUGAUGU
rnacentral:piRNA from 1 species